rnacentral:misc_RNA from 1 species
CGUAAAUCGCAUGUUUCCGGUCGAUGUCGAGCCCAAAAUAGGUUGUAGA